UGGAAGUGGAAGUGGGGAAGGCAGGUGAAAAUCUGAACACAGAAGUGGGGAAGGCAGGGGAAUCUGAAGAGAAAAGAGCUGAAUCUUUGGAAACGCCUCUUCAAUAUCAUAAAACGAUCUUCAAACAAUUUUUGAAGUUAUGACAAGGGCAACGAAGAACGAGCAAAGGCAUCAGUUUCAAGUCACAAUGGAAAUAAAUUUAAAUCUAGUGCCAAGGUAGAAAAAUGAUCACUCUUCGACUUUCUUUAGUUCUAUCACAUAAAUUGAAAUCAUAGGUUAGUAGUGCUGGUUUGUUAUUUAUGUUGCUUAAAUGGAGAGACUGGUUUAAUGUUCAUGAUGAUAGAAAGUACCUUAAGAAUACUAUUCCAAUAAUAAUUUUAGCCAGUCGAUUAGAGACUCGUGAUUUUCACUUAUGGUAAGGAUGAAUGUUCGAAGAGAUUUUUAGGUUGCUUGGAAAUCAUGGCAUAUGGUAGGCAUAUAUAACCUUUUUUGAAGAGAACCUUAAUUUUCAUUAUGAGGUUAAAUUUAUCCAUAUUUAGCCUUCUUUCGGUUGUAGUUGCUCUCUAUGUCUUGUUUCUUAAUUUAAUAAUUAAAAAUUCAAUAUUGUAGCAUUCAACAUUUGCAAUCAUAUCAUCAUUUGAUCAUUUGGUUCAGUGGUUUGCAGUAAGAUAUGACGACUGCAACUCAGCCCUUUAAUGGCAAUUUAAAGGCUAAACUUCUCUUGUUUUUUUCACAUUAUAUUUUUAUCUUUCUUUUUCAAUCUUAUAUUUAGUUAGCAACUUCAUUUGGUUACUGAGAAACCAGUAGAAAGAUUAUAAAAAGGAAAUCUAAAUUUCUUUCAAUUCCUAAUUCUUUGGUUUUCCGGUGAAAGGAAAAAUAAAUCAGCAAGUUAGUACUGUUGUUUCAUUUAUUUGGGUAAGCUUUCUCAGCCGUCAAGGAAGGAUAAAAGUGUUAUCAUUCAAUUACUCAUGGAAUUAAGUUCAUUAGAAAAAUAUGUAUUGAAUGACUUGUUUGACUAUAUGUUGUAAACUAAUUAAGAUUGUAUUUAUAUUUUCAACUUCCUUCUAUUUUUAUUAUUUAUUUUUUUGUAUACUGGUUGCAUUGCAUUAGUUUUGUUCAAUGAGUUGAUUUUAAGUUUGAGAGCUAAUUCACAUAAAAUAUAAUUUUGGAGCCUAUAUCGUACAGGCACUGCUAGUAUCGAAUGUAUAUAUAUUGUUUCAAUUCUUCAAUCAUUUCUUUUUUAAGCGUUUAGAGCAAGACUAAUUUAUGCACCAAAUUUUUUUACUUUACUCUGGAUAACAAAUUUGUCACUUUCUUUGCUUAAGGUUUUAUUAUUUGAUUUAUAAUAAGAUUGAUGGUAGCAUUAUUAUUAUUAUUAUUAUUAUUACUAUUACUAUCAUUAUUUUAAUUUAUUCGAUAAAUGUUACAUCAGUGGCUCCAUGUAUAUAGAAUUGGAGAGUAUAUAUAUGUUAUCAACAUAGGUAAACAGGUUUCCUUAUUUAAUAUAUAUUUUUUUAAGAUAGUUCUUUUGUAGAAAACUAAGUCUGUCAAAAAAAAAAAAAUCCAAAGAAAUAGUUUUCUUCCUCUUUUUUUUUUUUUUUUUCAAUUUUAAAAUUAAGUAUUCAUUCUUGUUUGCAUUUUUAUGCAAAUUUUUAUCAGUUAAUUGCUGAAUGUAAUAUUAACUCUAUAUUAGUUACCAUUUAUUUUCUUCUUUCACUUUUUUUUUUUAAUUCUAAAAUUAAUGUGUUCAUUCUUGUACGGAUUCUUAUGAAGCAACAAAAUUAGUUAAUUGGUACACGUAAUAUUAACUUCAAGUUUCUUUCAUGCCACCUUUGAUUUCUAUUGCGUGCAUUAAUUUGUAUUUCAUAUUUUGAUUUCUUUUGCAUGUGUUUCAUUUCUUAGAUUUACAUAUCAUUUUUUAUUUAUUUAUUUAUGUUAGUGUUUGAUUCCAUCUAUGAUGAUUUUUGUUAAAUGUCUCUCAUACCAUAUUUUGAUUUAUAUCUCGAUGUAUUAAAAACUUUGGUAUUUGAAUUACCAGUACUAUAAAUUGAAUUACCAGUCAGUUAAAACUCAAUAUCAUGAUUUUUUUUGUGCAAAUAAUGUUAAAUAGUAGGUAUUUUUAUGAUCAAUGUCUAUCCCUUUUAAAACCUUCUAUUAACAUGGACUACAUUAGUUUCAGGCAUAUCAUUUGUUGUUAGUUACCAACAAAAUGAUCUUUAUAUGCUCAGUCUCGUGUGUGUGUGUGUGUGUCAUAUUCAUGGAUAUUAGUCUUGAUAGCUAACCAUUUUAGAUUUUAAAUGGACGACGAUAUGGGAAUGUUAUGGUGCAAUAGAGCAAAUACUUGGACUUGAGCAAAAAAUUUAAUCAGAGAUCGGCAUAUGUAUCUCCAACAUUGUUCUAGGAAUCAUGAUGCAAAGUUUGUAAAGGGUGGUAGAUUGGAUUGUCUACAACACUAGAUGGUCGGUAUUCCUACGUACAAAUGGAGUUGAGCUACAAUAAGAAAUUAUUCAUGCACAUGUUGGCAUUAAUGCCAUGUAUAUUUAUUUAUUUAUUUAUUUAUUUAUUAUUAUUAUUAUUAUUAUUUACGUAUAAUUGAAAUUUUUAUUAUACAAUUACGUUGUGAUAUAUAGAACAAAUAAUUUUAAAACAUGUUACAUUUAACUUG